AGAGCGAACGCUGGCGGCAGGCCUAACACAUGCAAGUCGAGCGCCCGUAGCAAUACGGGAGCGGCAGACGGGAUAGUAACACGUGGGAACGCGCCCUUCGGUUCGGAAUAACUCAGGGAAACUUGAGCUAAUACCGGAUACGCCCUUACGGGGAAAGAUUUAUUGCCGAAGGAACGGCCCGCGUCCGAUUAGCUAGUUGGUGAGGUAAUGGCUCACCAAGGCGACGAUCGGUAGCUGGUCUGAGAGGAUGACCAGCAUCACUGGGACUGAGACACGGCCCAGACUCCUACGGGAGGCAGCAGUGGGGAAUAUUGGACAAUGGGCGCAAGCCUGAUCCAGCCAUGCCGCGUGGAUGAUGGAGGCCUUAGGGUUGUAAAGUCCGUUUUAACGGGGAAGAUAAUGACGGUACCGUAGAAUAAGCCCGGCUAACUUCGCGCCAGCAGCCGC
rnacentral:rRNA from 1 species